rnacentral:rRNA from 1 species
GAAGGGGUGACGCAGGAAGGUAGCCGUACCAGUCAGUGGUAACACUGGGGCAAGCCGGUAGGGAGAGCGAUAGGCAAAUCCGUCGCUCACUAAUCCUGAGAGGUGACGCAUAGCCGGUUGAGGCGAAUUCGGUGAUCCUCUGCUGCCAAGAAAAGCCUCUAGCGAGCACACACACGGCCCGUACCCCAAACCGACACAGGUGGUCAGGUAGAGCAUACCAAGGCGUACGAGAUAACUAUGGUUAAGGAACUCGGCAAAAUGCCCCCGUAACUUCGGGAGAAGGGGGACCGGAAUAUCGUGAACACCCUUGCGGUGGGAGCGGGAUCCGGUCGCAGAAACCAGUGAGGAGCGACUGUUUACUAAAAACACAGGUCCGUGCGAAGUCGCAAGACGAUGUAUACGGACUGACGCCUGCCCGGUGCUGGAAGGUUAAGAGGACCCGUUAACCCGCAAGGGUGAAGCGGAGAAUUUAAGCCCCAGUAAACGGCGGUGGUAACUAUAACCAUCCUAAGGUAGCGAAAUUCCUUGUCGGGUAAGUUCCGACCUGCACGAAUGGCGUAACGACUUCUCAACUGUCUCAACCAUAGACUCGGCGAAAUUGCACUACGAGUAAAGAUGCUCGUUACGCGCGGCAGGACGAAAAGACCCCGGGACCUUCACUACAACUUGGUAUUGAUGUUCGGUACGGUUUGUGUAGGAUAGGUGGGAGACUGUGAAACCUCGACGCCAGUUGGGGCGGAGUCGUUGUUGAAAUACCACUCUGAUCGUAUUGGGCAUCUAACCUCGAACCCUGAAUCGGGUUUAGGGACAGUGCCUGGCGGGUAGUUUAACUGGGGCGGUUGCCUCCUAAAAUGUAACGGAGGCGCCCAAAGGUUCCCUCAACCUGGACGGCAAUCAGGUGGCGAGUGUAAAUGCACAAGGGAGCUUGACUGCGAGACUUACAAGUCAAGCAGGGACGAAAGUCGGGAUUAGUGAUCCGGCACCCCCGAGUGGAAGGGGUGUCGCUCAACGGAUAAAAGGUACCCCGGGGAUAACAGGCUGAUCUUCCCCAAGAGUCCAUAUCGACGGGAUGGUUUGGCACCUCGAUGUCGGCUCGUCGCAUCCUGGGGCUGGAGCAGGUCCCAAGGGUUGGGCUGUUCGCCCAUUAAAGCGGCACGCGAGCUGGGUUUAGAACGUCGUGAGACAGUUCGGUCUCUAUCCGCCGCGCGCGUCAGAAACUUGAGGAAACCUGUCCCUAGUACGAGAGGACCGGGACGGACGAACCUCUGGUGCACCAGUUGUCCCGCCAGGGGCACCGCUGGAUAGCCACGUUCGGUCAGGAUAACCGCUGAAAGCAUCUAAGCGGGAAACCUUCUCCAAGAUCAGGUUUCUCACCCACUUGGUGGGAUAAGGCCCCCCGCAGAACACGGGUUCAAUAGGUCAGACCUGGAAGCUCAGUAAUGGGUGUAGGGAACUGGUGCUAACCGGCCGAAAACUUACAACA